rnacentral:rRNA from 1 species
ACUCCUACGGGAGGCAGCAGUGGGGAAUAUUGGACAAUGGGGGCAACCCUGAUCCAGCCAUGCCGCGUGAGUGAUGACGGCCUUAGGGUUGUAAAGCUCUUUUCUCCGGGACGAUAAUGACGGUACCGGAGGAAUAAGCCCCGGCUAACUUCGUGCCAGCAGCCGCGGUAAUACGAAGGGGCGUAGCGUUGCUCGGAAUCACUGGGCGUAAAGGGCGCGUAGGCGGCUGAUUUAGUCGAGGGUGAAAGCCCGUGGCUCAACCACGGAAUGGCCUUCGAUACUGAUUGGCUUGAGACUGGAAGAGGACAGCGGAACUGCGAGUGUAGAGGUGAAAUUCGUAGAUAUUCGCAAGAACACCAGUGGCGAAGGCGGCUGUCUGGUCCGGUUCUGACGCUGAGGCGCGAAAGCGUGGGGAGCAAACAGGNUUAGAUACCCUGGUAGACA